rnacentral:tRNA from 1 species
GCGGGGGUGCCCGAGCUAGGACAAAGGGGGCGGACUUAGGCUCCGCUGGCGAAGGCCUGCCCGGGUUCGAAUCCCGGCCCCCGCACCA